GACGAACGCUGGCGGCGUGCUUAACACAUGCAAGUCGAACGAAGUGGCGAACGGGUGAGUAACGCGUAAUCAACCUGCCCUUCAGAGGGGGACAACAGUUGGAAACGACUGCUAAUACCGCAUACUGCAGGAGGGGAUUGCGUCUGAUUAGCUAGUUGGGGGGGUAACGGCCCACCAAGGCGAUGAUCAGUAGCCGGGCUGGGAGGAUGAACGGCCACAACGGGACUUAGACAAGGCCCAGAAUCCUUAGGGAGGCAGCCAGGGGGGAUCUUCCGGCAUUGACGAAAGUCCUACGGAGGCACGGCGCGGGAGGGAUGGAGGCCUUCGGGUUGGAAAGCUUUGUUAAUCGGGACGCGGUACCGGAAUAGAAAGCCACGGCUAACUACGUGCCAGCCGCCGCGGUAAUAC
rnacentral:rRNA from 1 species